CUUUUUGCACACACACGAAUACAAAGAGCCAUACGACCUUCGGGUAUCCUUUUUCCAUUUUUUUUCCUCCUUAAUCUUGUGUGUGUUUUCAAAUUUUUAAAAAAUAGAGAUCUGUAGCAGUGUUGGGAAUGUCUUACUACCCUAUCAGUUCAUCCUAUACAUUGCUCAAGGCUCAACUGGAAGCUUUUCUUCUUUUCAGGUUUAGCUGUGUCUCCCAGUGACUAUAAUGACAAGGAAGCUGUAAAUGUAUUUGAGUUAAGUUUUUGCGAGAAGUUGCACUAGUCGGGGGUUCCAUGCUGGGGGGCAGAAGGAAUGCUCUCUACCCUCUGAAACCGUUCAUCAGGAAGGCCUUGAUUUGUGAUGUGCUAGGAGAGCACAGGAUCUGCAAAUAGAAGGCACCUGUCUUCCUUCUGCAGGCCGAGGAGAGGCCGCCAUGGACUGUGUGCUUCUUCAUGGCUUGUCUACUCUUCUUUCACAGACCCUACAGCUUGGGGCCUGGGCUCCUCUGACCAUCCUCAUUGAGAAAGGAAAGUGAGUCCAGAGAAGUCGAUGCUUCCUACCUGUUGGAGCGGCCCAGCAGUGUAAGCGUG
rnacentral:sRNA from 1 species